GAGCCUAUAGCUCAGCUGGUUAGAGCGCACGCCUGAUAAGCGUGAGGUCGAUGGUUCGAGUCCAUUUAGGCCCA
rnacentral:tRNA from 1 species